AUGGCGGUUCGCGUUAUUCGUGUUACUUUCCUCUUUUUUGGGGUUGCUGCGCUGACAACGAGCUUUGUGUUCGUCCAAGCCGCCCCUCUCGAGGAAAUUGCCAAAAUCGAUGAGGUGAAUCUCAACACCCGCGACUUGGACGUGGACGAUGGACACCCCCUCGAAACCCGCGCCCUCUGGGACGCUCUCGGCCUGAGCGGAAUCGUGAGCAGCCCCAACGGUUUCAAAAACUUCGCCAACAACGACGGGGAUGAAGAUCAGGACUUCAGCGAUAUGGUCUUUGACUCCGGGAACGGUGGCACCGAGAGCAGUUUCAACAACAACGGCAGUGGUGAUCAGAACUUCAGCGGCGCGGUCUUCAACACGGGCGGAAGAGGACCUAACGGCGGGACAAGAGACAGUUUCAACAACAACGGAGGUGGCGCCCAGCUGUUCGGGAGGGGCGCCAAGUUCAACCUGGGCGCCACAGUCGACAGCUUCAACAACUCAGGAUCCGGCAAGCAGACAGGCCUCGACACGGCCACUUUCAAGACAGGCCCGUGAGGAACAGCUUCAACGGCAGGAAUGCGCCUCCCGGGAGUUCUGGCGAGUCCACCAAGAAGGAAAAACGCCCCAAACCCCAGCCAGCGCCGUUCAGCCUAUUCAGCUGGUUCGGCUGGUAAAUACCCGAUGAAACCAUCAAGAUCACCCCCUUCCGUUGGUCCACCCGAUAAAUACCGGAAGACACCGUCAAGAUCAGCCCCUUCUGUUUGGUCCACCCGAUAAAUACCGGAAGGUACCGUCAAGAUCAGCCUCCGCGGUUCGUUCACCCGGUAAAUACUGGAGCCCAUCCAGUAAAAAUAAGCCAAAAAAUCGCAGCCCCAGAAAAAGGUACCGACGAAGGACGAAGAGAUAACUCUGAAACCAUUUUAUCUUACGAAUUACUUUCAUCGAACUUGUUGAGUAUUUGAAUUGUUUAAACCGCGUAUUUUUUGUAGCAAUGAUUGAAAAUCUUUUUCGUUGGUCGAAUACAUUUUACUGAGCAGACUAUUUUACUGAAAUUUUCUCUUGAUUUUUUACCCUCUCUCGGACUACCCUAUGGGAUUCAUGGAGCCUUACGAGUUUAAACGCACGGGGGAAAAUU
rnacentral:lncRNA from 1 species